CAGUAGCCACGGGAAUACGAAGGGGGCUAGCGUUGCUCGGAAUGACUGGGCGUAAAGGGCGCGUAGGCGGCGGCCAAAGUCAGGCGUGAAAUUCCCGGGCUCAACCUGGGGGCUGCGUUUGAUACUUGGUUGCUUGAGUGGGGAAGAGGGUCGUGGAAUUCCCAGUGUAGAGGUGAAAUUCGUAGAUAUUGGGAAGAACACCGGCGGCGAAGGCGGCGACCUGGUCCUUUACUGACGCUGAGGCGCGAAAGCGUGGGGAGCAAACAGGAUUAGAUACCCCAGUAGUCCCUGUCUCUUAUAC
rnacentral:rRNA from 1 species